UACGUAGGGCGCAAGCGUUAUCCGGAAUUAUUGGGCGUAAAGAGCUCGUAGGCGGUUUGUCGCGUCUGCCGUGAAAGUCCGGGGCUCAACUCCGGAUCUGCGGUGGGUACGGGCAGACUAGAGUGAUGUAGGGGAGACUGGAAUUCCAGGUGUAGCGGUGAAAUGCGUAGAUAUCUGGAGGAACACCGGUGGCGAAGGCGGCAUCCUGGACCGAGAUUGACGCGUGAGGCGCGAAAAGCGUGGGGAGCAACAGG
rnacentral:rRNA from 1 species